AAUAACUUGGCGUAAUGGUUUAACGUUUAAUCCGCUUUCGAUCCGUUAAUUACUUGUUUUAACUUAAAGGAAAAGGUUCGAAUCCUUUAAUUAUUA